rnacentral:misc_RNA from 1 species
GAUGAAGAACGCAACGAAAUGCGAUAAGUAGUGUGAAUUGCAGAAUUCAGUGAAUCAUCGAAUCUUUGAACGCACAUUGCGCCCUUUGGUAUUCCAAAGGGCAUGCCUGUUCGAGCGUCAUUUGUACCCUCAAGCUUUGCUUGGUGUUGGGCGUCUUGUCUCUAGCUUUGCUGGAGACUCGCCUUAAAGUAAUUGGCAGCCGGCCUACUGGUUUCGGAGCGCAGCACAAGUCGCACUCUCUAUCAGCAAAGGUCUAGCAUCCAUUAAGCCUUUUUUUCAACUUUUGACCUCGGAUCAGGUAGGGAUACCCGCUGAACUUAAGCAUAUCAAUAAGCGGAGGA